CGGGUGGGGAUGUGCGAGGCACUUGUCAAGUGUUGCGCGCCCGCAAGGUAACUCGGAUCAGCUCGCCAGUGCACUUUCUCGGAGUGUUCACCACGACCGGCGCUGCUGUCUGUCUGAUGUGGUCAAACCGGUCUUGCAUUGUCCUUGCGGCUCUGCUUGGUCGGGAUGGCAGGUAACUCGUUGGCUUGCGUGCUGGCCUCGGUUGGCAUGCGUUUGGCUUUCGAGCGUAAUCAGCUGGCUAUGUCAGUACUGUGCAGUGCGUCGGAGACGGCGGCUUGUUGUGGGUGUUCGUGCUUGCUCAUUGACGGCUCCGAGUUUGAUUGUUAUGUUGCCUGUCUCUGAUAGGCCUGGUAAUAGCUCGGUUCUGCUUGGUGGGCAGUUGCGGAUGCUUUACAUUUCAGGGCCAACAGUCUGUGGUGUAGUGGUAGACUAUCCACCCGACCCGUCUUGAAACACGGACCAAGGAGAGUAACAUGUGCGCGAGUCAUUGGGCGUUACGAAACCCAAAGGCGCAGUGAAAGUAAAGGCUCGGCUUGUCUGGGCUGAGGUGAGAUCCUGUCGUUCCUCACGCAAGGUACUGCCAAGCGUUUGAGCGGCGGGCGCAUCACCGGCCCGUCCCAUGGCGUGGACACGGUCUUCGGGCUGUGCACCGUCGGGGCGGAGCAUGAGCGCACAUGUUGAGACCCGAAAGAUGGUGAACUAUGCUUGCGCAGGUUGAAGCCAGAGGAAACUCUGGUGGAGGACCGCAGCGAUUCUGACGUGC
rnacentral:rRNA from 1 species